rnacentral:rRNA from 1 species
CACGUAGGGUGCGAGCGUUGUCCGGAAUUAUUGGGCGUAAAGGGCUCGUAGGCGGUUUGUCGCGUCGGGAGUGAAAAUCCAGGGCUUAACUCUGGACUGGCUUCCGAUACGGGCAGACUAGAGGUAUGCAGGGGAGAACGGAAUUCCCGGUGUAGCGGUGAAAUGCGCAGAUAUCGGGAGGAACACCGGUGGCGAAGGCGGUUCUCUGGGCCUGUACUGACGCUGAGGAGCGAAAGCGUGGGGAGCGAACAGG